rnacentral:rRNA from 1 species
AUUGAACGCUGGCGGCAGGCCUAACACAUGCAAGUCGAACGGUAACAGGAAGCAGCUUGCUGCUUCGCUGACGAGUGGCGGACGGGUGAGUAAUGUCUGGGAAGCUGCCUGAUGGAGGGGGAUAACUACUGGAAACGGUAGCUAAUACCGCAUAAUGUCGCAAGACCAAAGAGGGGGACCUUCGGGCCUCUUGCCAUCGGAUGUGCCCAGAUGGGAUUAGCUUGUUGGUGGGGUAACGGCUCACCAAGGCGACGAUCCCUAGCUGGUCUGAGAGGAUGACCAGCCACACUGGAACUGAGACACGGUCCAGACUCCUACGGGAGGCCGCAGUGGGGAAUAUUGCACAAUGGGCGCAAGCCUGAUGCAGCCAUGCCGCGUGUAUGAAGAAGGCCUUCGGGUUGUAAAGUACUUUCAGCGGGGAGGAAGGGAGUAAAGUUAAUACCUUUGCUCAUUGACGUUACCCGCAGAAGAAGCACCGGCUAACUCCGUG